rnacentral:rRNA from 1 species
UACGUAGGGACCAAGCGUUGUUCGGAUUUACUGGGCGUAAAGGGCGCGUAGGCGGCAAUUCAAGUCAUCUGUGAAAUCUCUGGGCUUAACCCAGAACGGCCAGGUGAUACUGCUUUGCUAGAGUGCGGAAGGGGCAAUCGGAAUUCUUGGUGUAGCGGUGAAAUGCGUAGAUAUCAAGAGGAACACCUGAGGUGAAGACGGGUUGCUGGGCCGACACUGACGCUGACAGCGCGAAAGCCAGGGGAGCAAACAGG